AUUCAACGCACUUUCAGCAGUUGCCUUGAGAUCUAAUUCUGUUAACUCAGAGUCAUUAUAUAGUGGCUUAGUUUCUUAUUUAAACUAUGCUUCUGUGCAUUCCUUGUCCAUAUUGUUUUCACGCUUUUGUUUCGUGAAUUUGUGAAACAGGAGAGGCUCUUGACUGUUUGGUCUCUAUUCAGUCACGAUCAGGGAAGGACGACAGUGAGUUGUUGGAGCUGCUCAAGAGGGUUCUGAGAAUUCAGGAGAAAGCUUUUGGCCACGAGGGUGAGGAGGUCAUGGAAACCCUCAAGAAAAUUGUACAUUACAUGGACAAAAUGGGUAUGAAUAACGAGAAACGUCCAUUGCAAAGAAGAUUAUCCAUUUUGAGAAACAAACACAAGAAAAUGGUUAGGUAUUGACAACAGUGGCUUAUUGAGUUGGAUAUUUCUUGUUUUCUUGCAAUGGAGCGAAUCCUAGAUCCUUGGCUGUUUUGAUGUCACGAACAAUGAUGAAAAGUUUUAUGGCAAGAGUAAGCAGCCAGUAUUCAGCAUUUUUGAUAAUGAACAUUGAGGUACUUGGCAACUCAAAUCAUGCAUCUUUUGAUAGUUUAUAGCAUGCUUAAUUUUCUUGAUAUUCUUCAUGUUCUUAGUUAAUCGAUAAAAUCUUGCCUGUUUUACCUUGUCCUUAAAAGGAGAUGCCUUAUUGACUUUUGGGAAUUAUUCGUGAUUUUAGUCAAAGAAACGUUUUCACAUUCAUUUUAAGAAAAUUACAUUAGAAAAACAAUUUGAAGAAAAUUCUACCAUCUUGGUUGUAGGCUUGUAACGACCUUGCCAUAACCUUUGUUCAGACCGUGGACAUAAUAAAUGCUUAUAUACAUACAUAAAUAUAUAUAUAUAUAUACGGUCUAGAUCAUUUAGAUCACCAUAUCCGCAUCCAAACACACCCCAAUAAAGGUAUUAAUAGAUCUACACCAGUGGAUUAGCUUAAAGGGUUGUGAUUAUUUGUCAAAUUCAUUGGUAUAUAUAUGUGCGUGUGCGCGCGUGACUCACUUCUCUUCUUAUUUUGACCGGUUCUUAAGGAGUAUCGAAGCACUAGUCACUAGAUGUGCAUUUCACUCAUUUCUUCUUUGCUUUAUCAAUAUUUUGUGACAGGAAUGGAACUCAUAAAAGUUGCUUGUUCAAUAUCAAUGAUGAGAAUAAACAGCUUGAAGUAUAACUGAACAGCUUGCGAAAUGUGCGUCUCCACUUCAGGUAUAUGUAACAAUUGAUCAAGGCGAUCUCCAUCAGCAAGCAAAUAUUUAGCUGGACCUGAAAAUUCCAGUUUUGUCCACAUACUUGUCGAAUUAACUCCUGGUAUCCUCUGCCCCAUAAGCAUCAAAUGCUACUGCCCAUGUCAAAGGAAUCAUCUUUGAUGAUGUGAACUUCAGUGCUAUCUAUCUUUGACAGCCCAGGAGGUAUUCCCAAGUAAUUCGCUUUUAGGGACGAAUGUGUAGUUGUUUAUUAAGCGUUUUGAUGUUAUCUUUGACAUGAUGUCUGUUUUCGUGAAGCGUUUUGAUGUUAUCAACUUGCAAUAUAAGUAUGUUGGGGAUUGUUUAUUUUGAAGUAUUUUGAAUAUAAUGUGCAAUUAAUUUUAACUCCUUUCUUUGUACUUGUAAGGGUAGAAAGUAAGUAUUUUGAAUACUUGGC
rnacentral:lncRNA from 1 species